UACGUAGGGUGCAAGCGUUAUCCGGAGUUAUUGGGCGUAAAGAGCUCGUAGGCGGUUUGUCGCGUCUGCUGUGAAAACCCGAGGCUCAACCUCGGGCCUGCAGUGGGUACGGGCAGACUAGAGUGCGGUAGGGGAGAUUGGAAUUCCUGGUGUAGCGGUGGAAUGCGCAGAUAUCAGGAGGAACACCGAUGGCGAAGGCAGAUCUCUGGGCCGUAACUGACGCUGAGGAGCGAAAGCGUGGGGAGCGAACAGG
rnacentral:rRNA from 1 species